ACAAGCGGUGGAUGAUGUGGUUUAAUUCGAUGCAACGACGAAAACCUUACCCACCUUUGACAUGGCAGGAAGUUUCCAGAGAUGGAUUCGUGCUCGAAAGAGAACCUGCACACAGGUGCUGCAUGGCUGUCGUCAGCUCGUGUCGUGAGAUGUUGGGUUAAGUCCCGCAACGAGCGCAACCCUUGCCAUCAGUUGCUACGAAAGGGCACUCUGAUGGGACUGCCGGUGACAAACCGGAGGAAGGUGGGGAUGACGUCAAGUCCUCAUGGCCCUUAUAGGUGGGGCUACACACGUCAUACAAUGGCCGGUACAAAGGGCAGCAAACCCGCGAGGGGGAGCCAAUCCAUCAAAGCCGGUCGUAGUCCGGAUCGCAGUCUGCAACUCGACUGCGUGAAGUCGGAAUCGCUAGUAAUCGUGGAUCAGCAUGUCACGGUGAAUACGUUCCCGGGUCUU
rnacentral:rRNA from 1 species